rnacentral:rRNA from 1 species
GACGAACGCUGGCGGCGUGCCUAAUACAUGCAAGUAGGACGCAGUUGCGAACGGGUGAGUAACGCGUAGGUCACUACCUAGUAGAGGGGGCUAACUAUUGGAAACGAUAGCUAAUAACGCAUACUAGUAGAUGGACCUGCGUUGUAUUUGCUAGUAGGUAGGGUAAUGGCCUACCUAGGCAACGAUACAUGACCGACUUGGGAGGGUGAACGGCCCACCUUGGACCUGGACACGGGUCCGACUCCCAACGGAGGGAGGAGGAGGGAAUCUUCGGAAAUGGGGGGAACCCUGACCGCGCCACGCCGCGUGAGUGAAGAAGGGUUUCGGAUCGUAAAGAUCUGUUGUUCAGGAAGCGGUACUUAACCAGAAAGGGCCGGCUAACUACGUGCCAGCAGCCGCGGUAAUAC